CAGAGACUGGCCAAUGGCUUGUUGAGCUUCUUAAGCCUCCGCCAUUGGGAUGAUGGCCUUUGCUCAUCUCUGGACAAAUGGGCGUGAUGCUGUGCUGUUUGCUGGUCUCACCUGUUCUCCAUCAGCUCAUCAGAUCAGUACAUCUAUCAAGGCUCCCAGUCACAAGCUGCCAGAUCGUUCUUGUUUACCAUAUGCCCUGUCAGUUCCAGCACAGCUGUCCACCCCACUGCAGAAGUUCUGCUCACAGCUCCUGCUGCCAGUCUCCCCGGCCUCCCUUCAAGCGACCUCACCUUCCCCACCGCUUGCCCUACGCACUUUUCUGGAAGGCUGAUCAAGAAUCAGUAAAGACGACUGUUCCCACAUCAGAACUGUGUCUGUGUCUUGAGUCAGCUUUUGGGGCUCAUUCCAGAGUUUUAGCUCAAUCUUGGCUCUGCCCACUAUUAAUGUUUGAUGCCACUUGAAGGUCAACAGGUUUUUUUUUUUUUUUUAACAUUAAAGGCCCUUAAUUGAGCCCCCCAGGGCCACAAACCCAUAGUGUUGAUAUGUCAUGUCUAUUUGAUCACACUUCUCUCUCCAAGACGCUUCGCAUUAAGUCCUCGGCCAAUAAAAUACAUUUGUGGCAGGGGAUGUGACUUCACUGGCCCAAUACUUGUGUAGAAAACUACAUUUCCUACAACAAUGCCCUUGACAACCACUAACUGGUUCUACAAGAAAAGUUUUUAAGUAUUUCUAAGUCUGUGUUAAAUGUAUUACCAUUUCUGCUUUAAAAGAAAAGUCCACACAUGUGAAAUGUUUUAGUUUUAAUUGAACAUGUAGAACUGAACUAUACACAACCAAUUGGUUUCUUUCUCAAAAACAUUAUGACUUCAAGAAUUUUCUAUGCAUCUUCAUGCAUGUCAUCAACCUCCUUUGUGACCAACCUAACAAAUAAAGAACACAGGGGGGUUCAAUAGUGGCUGAUCAGGCCAAAGACACACAAGAGGAAUGACACAACGCAUUAAUACAUUAACUACUAAUGAACUAAACUCAAUAACCCCAAUUCCCCCCUAUUGUAGCAGGCUCUUGGUUCAGUCUCAUUGGCACUUCUUGAACUGUGCCACUGCCCUGGGGCCUAUACUUUUGCCAAUCCAGCCAGAUGAACUCAGCAAGGACAACAGGAACCCUGGG